rnacentral:tRNA from 1 species
GCGUUAGACUUUUAAUCCAACGAUCAAGGGUUCAAGUCCCUUAACGUGCU